GCUCACUGGUCGAGUCGGCCUGCGCGGAAGAUGUAACGGGGCUAAACCAUGCACCGAAGCUGCGGCAGCGACGCUUAUGCGUUGUUGGGUAGGGGAGCGUUCUGUAAGCCUGCGAAGGUGGCCUGUGAGGGCUGCUGGAGGUAUCAGAAGUGCGAAUGCUGACAUAAGUAACGAUAAAGCGGGUGAAAAGCCCGCUCGCCGGAAGACCAAGGGUUCCUGUCCAACGUUAAUCGGGGCAGGGUGAGUCGACCCCUAAGGCGAGGCCGAAAGGCGUAGUCGAUGGGAAACAGGUUAAUAUUCCUGUACUUGGUGUUACUGCGAAGGGGGGACGGAGAAGGCUAUGUUAGCCGGGCGACGGUUGUCCCGGUUUAAGCAUGUAGGCGGAGGUUCCAGGUAAAUCCGGUACCUUUUAACGCUGAGGUGUGAUGACGAGGCACUACGGUGCUGAAGUAACAAAUGCCCUGCUUCCAGGAAAAGCCUCUAAGC
rnacentral:rRNA from 1 species